rnacentral:rRNA from 1 species
UUUUUUCCGCUGUCUUUUUUCUUGUCGGUGCUCGGGUGCUGGCGUGCAGGGGUGCUAGGUUAGUGGGGCUGGGGCAGCGGGGUUACCGGCAGAGAGGGCUCUCCGUUCUCUUUAGCUAGGUUAGUGGGGCUGGGGCAGCGGCGGGUUGCAGGUACCGGCAGAGAGGGCUCACCGGUUCUCUUUAGCUGGGCGAAGGCGCCAAGACGGGAUGUCAGAAGCGCAGCAGGGCGCGGGUUCCCGCGAGAGGAGAUGGGUUAGGAGGAGGGACAGCUAACAGACAGCGGGGUAGGUACCCGGAAAGCGGCACGGGCACUACGCGGCGCAGGCCCUGGCCGUGUCUCGGACGUGUCCCACCAUACUCGCGUCGGUUACGGAGGAGAGGUGGGCAGCGGCCACUCCUGAGAAUUCCUACCGAUGACUACUGCCGCUCCUCUGGGUAGUCUUCACCACGUACGCACGCCGUACGGUAAUCUCUUCUUUCCGAGUACAUACUUCUUGCAACCGUGGUCGGAUACACGGUGGUAGGCGUAUCUUCUGCUCCAUCACAAUGGUCUACGCAUGUGUCAAGUACACUUCAUUGGGGAGUAACGAAGCUACGACUAAGUCACCUAAUGGUCAAGUGGUGGUGGCGGUAACUUCUACGUCCAAGAGAAGAUCCGAACCACCACUUCUUCGGUCGUUGCAACCACGCGACGUCGGACGUCCAGUAUCUACACUUCUUCGUUCGUGCUCCGGUACGCCAGAUCGUCGUCCUGUGUGUACUUCCUCCGAUCCUGACUCACGUCCGGACACUGAUCCUAGUUAUCGUCCUCUGUUGCAGUGUAGCACCUAUAGUUCAACAGUACCUCCUGUUUUUCUCCCCACGUAACGUUAGAUAUAAAAAGUGAUGAUUUACACACUGUGUUAGACAACUCUUUGUGUAAAUCCAUACGCAUCAUAUGAAGUCAUAUACGAGUAAAGUAGACCUCCAUGUUAGAGUUGAAGAACUUCGUUGUAUGUCAUGGCCUCCCACAUUGAAAACCUGUAAAUGCAGUUUUGGAACCUCUACUACCUACGAGCCACUGAUCGAGACGUACGGAAGAUACCCCAAGUUUUAAUGAAAUACUACAAGUAGGACGAUCCGACGUCCCAGUAUCACGAAGGUCAUAAAAAUUAAAACUUAGUAUAUCAGUUAGUUAGUCAGUACCUAGUCUACCAAAUUAUUCAAAAAAACGUAAAGUAUACCAUCACUAGCUGUCUCCGAGAAAACCAGGUUAGUCACUCUCUAGUUUAUCGAACUCGAACGGUAUGUGUUUCGUUAUACUAUGUGCGAAGGUUGAUGUCACGUCUGCGAGGUUUUUAGUCCGAUGUACGGUCGACGUUUGUUUAUAUUAUUUCAACAAACCCACCUAGACAACACCACGACGAAUCCACCUAGAUUAGUUCUGUUGAUAACUAGCAGAAGGUAAAGUUGUCGUCGUUACACCCCACAGUGUACACCUCAUCCUCCACAUUCUCUUCUACCUCUUCCACUAAUAAGAGCGUAAUGUAACUCACAACUCACACCCCAUAUACCUUUAUAAACUUAACUUCUGCUAGGCCAUGGACUCUAUUUACUAGCUCCUCUGCGUACUGAACUUAUUUUUAUAAACACUCUUAUACUUUACUCCUUUAAUGAUAAAGACUGGCUCAGAAUUAGACUUCUCCUGUAAAGAUACUACGAACGUAAGUGCUUAACUUCUUUGAGGACAGAUACUACGAACGAAAGUGCUUAACUUCUUUGAGGACAGCUUAUGGAAACAACCAACGUUAAUAGCAAGUUUAUAGUAGUAAACUUGUACAAGAUAAGAGUCUUUUUUGUAUGAGGGAGGUAGGUAUAUAUGUCCCGGAUUACACAAAAAGCUCAGACGAAACUGAUAACUAUUCCAAUUAUCAUAUACUCUACAUAUUAUACUUUUAAUAUAGUAACUUUUGAGCAAAGUUUAUGUUUAAACUACCAUACGAAACACAUUAAACGACAGUAUAUAAUGGUAUAUAAUAACGAAAUUGUACACCAGUUACAAUCGGAGCUGUUUGUGUAAUCCGGGAUACGUAUCCUUAUCUCCCUCAUAAAAUAAGGCAGAUUUUUAUAUAAAAAUAGAGCACCGUUGCGUGCCCGUAGGUUGAUCACACUGAUUUUCAUUCUUUUUAACACGAUGUAGUUAUAGUUCGUCUUUCUUUAUUUGUGCUCUAUGUAUUCAAGAUAACUAAAAAAACUUCAUAAUUGUUAUGCUCUGUUACGAUUGUAAUUUAACUACGAUUUAGCCUUUUAACCUGUCCUAUAGCCUUUCCUGAUUAUCCUUUUGGUUCGAGGUUCACACUGGCUACACCGCGUUAAAAGACCAUGCUUCUUUCUUGAAGUCCAUCUCACUUUUCGUACGGUAGAAAGCCUGAUACUACGGUUGUCCCUUUCCAACUAAACGGUGGUAAGUCUCUCGAUGGCUGAAUGGAACGUCUUAGCGAUUCCUUUCUGUUAUCUUUGUCCAGUUUUUUUAUAUGUGUUUUAUAGUCUAACAUGUUGAGGUACAAGCGAAAGUGCUGUUAACCUCCCUUUUAUCUUUUUUUUUUGUUAUCGUCACCCAGGAUACAAAAUCUUACUUACCCGUUUUAAUGGUGUCUUAUCCGUGAGAUGAUGGACUUCCAUUUCUGUCUGGUGCGACCCGUGUCAACAUGUAGACACUGUGACUUUUACUCCAUUCUUUGUCCUAAUUCCGCAGCUUCAAACUUCUAUUUUACCUCAGUUAUCUACGAGUGUAGCAGCUCCUUGAAUUUUAUACGACCUAUCUCUAUUAUAUGAACGUUUUUAUAAGUCUUACCGUUCCCUGUCUAAGCUUCUUCCACUGAUAGUGUUGUACUCUAAUUUUGAUUAGAUUAAAUACAAAAUAUUUUAGAUUAUCAAAAAACAAUGUUCAGUAUCACGUCUAUUUUUUCAAUCCGAACUAUUCUUCUUCAAGAGGUAAAAGAGGUAGAAUAAUCCACAUACGUUUUAUACUACGUCCACGACAAAACCAUCACCUUGGAAAGAUGCACAUACAAAUGACGAAAGAGAUAUAAUAGAAGGUAUUUUCAUAACAUUGUGUUAUAGUUCACGUAUGGAAAACGAGGGUUCGAAGCUUAUCGGUUUAUUAAGUCUUAAUUUGUUUAUUUUUAGGAGGAAAUUCAAACUCUGACAGGACUAAAAAAGGAACGUACAAUUUACAAGUAGGAUUGUGGACUAAUACUAUAAAGAAAAUAUAAACGUACCAGGGGUAUUUUCUGAUUGUACGAAAAAAGUCAACAUUUCUGAUUGUACAACUUGAUUUUAUACAACUAUCAUGUAUUUUUUACUUUUUUCAGUGAAUUGAAUUAGAAUACUUCGUGUAGAUGUACGUAAAAAAAGAUCCUGAAAUUUUAUACAAAAGUAAGUAAAGAUAAAUUAGUUCGAGUUUACAAUAUAACCAAGUUAGCGUGUUUGUAUUCUUUGCCAAUGCUUUUUUUAUUUAUAUACUGUCUCAGUCCUUUUCCCUUUUCACCUGGUCGUCUAGCUUGAAUCUUUACAACGGCUACACUCCUAAACAGACCGACCGCGAGGUCCCCGUCUUUUACAGAGGUCGUAGGAGUAUGAUUUCUCAUUUCUGAUGUAGUGGACGUGCCUGCGGCUGUUGUUUUUGUGGCACGUCUAGCUACUAGAUCGAAGGAGGGAACGCCAUCGAGGUGGAACCCGGUACGAUCGGGGAGUAGCAGCAAAUGGUCGGAUUCUCUGGCUCCUCCGCAUACUCCUCUGUUUGGUCGGUGACCGGCGUGGUCGCUUAGCUCGACGUUCCCCACCGACGUCGGACGUCCACUCCUGUUAGUUCGAGUUCCGUGGCUUAGUUCCCUCGCUCAACUACCCUCGUUAGGCCGCCGUCAUUAAAACAUCACUCGCUUCUCUUAUUCCUUCUCUUUUUCCCCUAGCCCGUUCUCGUUG